GAUGAAGAACGCAGCGAAAUGCGAUAAGAAGUGUGAAUUGCAGAAUUCAGUGAAUCAUCGAAUCUUUGAACGCACAUUGCGCCCCUUGGUAUUCCAUGGGGCAUGCCUGUUCGAGCGUCAUUUGUACCUUCAAGCUUUGCUUGGUGUUGGGUGUUUGUCCAUUCUCUUGCAGAGGGACUCGCCUUAAAGUAAUUGGCAGCCAGUGUUUUGGUUUUGAAGCGCAGCACAAGUCGCGAUUCAACGCUAUACGCCAGCUUCCACAAGCCUUUUUCACUUUUGACCUCGGAUCAGGUAGGGAUACCCGCUGAACUUAAGCAUAUCAAUAAGCGGAGGA
rnacentral:misc_RNA from 1 species